UCGUCAUGGGCGCAGCCUGACGGAGCAACGCCGCGUGAGUGAUGAAGGCCUUCGGGUUGUAAAACUCUGUCUUCUGUGAAGAACAAGCCUGUGAAUGGAAAGCUCAGGCCCUGACGGUAACAGAGGAGGAAGCCCCGGCUAACUACGUGCCAGCAGCCGCGGUAAUACGUAGGGGGCAAGCGUUGUCCGGAUUUACUGGGCGUAAAGCGCGCGCAGGCGGUCAUCUGCGUCCGGGGUGAAAACCCAGAGCUCAACUCUGGGACUGCCUUGGAUACGGGGUGACUUGAGGAUCGGAGAGGCAAGGGGAAUUCCACGUGUAGCGGUGAAAUGCGUAGAGAUGUGGAGGAACACCUGUGGCGAAGGCGCCUUGCUGGCCGAUUUCUGACGCUGAGGCGCGAAAGCGUGGGGAGCAAACAGGAUUAGAUACCCUGGUAGUCCACGCCGUAAACGAUGAGUGCUAGGUGUUGGGGGGUACCACCCUCAGUGCCGAAGCUAACGCAUUAAGCACUCCGCCUGGGGAGUACGGGUCGCAAGACUGAAACUCAAA
rnacentral:rRNA from 1 species